UAGGGAAUCUUCGGCAAUGGACGAAAGUCUGACUGAGCAACGCCGCGUGAGUGAAGAAGGUUUUCGGAUCUUAUAACUCUGUUGUUAGAGAAGAACAAGGACGUUAGUAAUUGAACGUCUCCUGACGGUAUUUAAUCAGAAAGCCACGGCUAACUACGUGCCAGCAGCCGCGGUAAUACGUAGGUGGCAAGCGUUGUCCGGACUUAUUGGGCGUAAAGCGAGCGCAGGCGGUUUCUUAAGUCUGAUGUGAAAGCCCCCGGCUCAACCGGGGAGGGUCAUUGGAAACUGGGAGACUUGAGUGCAGAAGGGGAGAGUGGAAUUCCAUGUGUAGCGGUGAAAUGCUUGGAUAUAUAGAGAAACACCAGUGGCGAAGGCGGCUCUCUGGUCUGUAACUGCCGCUGAGGCUCGAAAGCGUGGGGAGCAAACAGG
rnacentral:rRNA from 1 species